rnacentral:rRNA from 1 species
UACAGAGGUCUCAAGCGUUGUUCGGAUUCAUUGGGCGUAAAGGGUGCGUAGGUGGCGUGGUAAGUCGGGUGUGAAAUUUCGGAGCUUAACUCCGAAACUGCAUUCGAUACUGCUGUGCUUGAGGACUGGAGAGGAGACUGGAAUUUACGGUGUAGCAGUGAAAUGCGUAGAGAUCGUAAGGAAGACCAGUGGCGAAGGCGGGUCUCUGGACAGUUCCCGACACUGAGGCACGAAGGCCAGGGGAGCAAACGGG